UGGUCCUGACCUGACCUGUAUGUACCUGGUCCUGACCUGUAUGUACCUGGUCCUGACCUGUACGUACCUGGUCCUGACCUGUUUGUACCUGGUCCUGACCUGUAUGUACCUGGUCCUAACCUGACCUGUAUGUACCUGGUCCUAACCUGUAUGUACCUGGUCCUGACCUGUAUGUACCUGGUCCUGACCUGUAUGUACCUGGUCCUGACCUGUUUGUACCUGGUCCUGACCUGUAUGUACCUGGUCCUGACCUGUUUGUACCUGGUCCUGACCUGUUUGUACCUGGUCCUGACCUGUAUGUACCUGGUCCUGACCUGUAUGUACCUGGUCCUAACCUGACCUGUAUGUACCUGGUACUGACCUGUAUGUACCUGGUCCUGACCUGUAUGUACCUGGUCCUGACCUGUUUGUACCUGGUCCUGACCUGUAUGUACCUGGUCCUGACCUGUAUGUACCUGGUCCUGACCUGACCUGUAUGUACCUGGUCCUGACCUGUUUGUACCUGGUCCUGACCUGACCUGUUUGUACCUGGUCCUGACCUGUUUGUACCUGGUCCUGACCUGUAUGUACCUGGUCCUCACCUGUUUGUACCUGGUCCUGACCUGACCUGUAUGUACCUGGUCCUGACCUGUAUGUACCUGGUCCUGACCUGUAUGUACCUGGUCCUGACCUGUAUGUACCUGGUCCUAACCUGACCUGUAUGUACCUGGUCCUGACCUGUAUGUACCUGGUCCUGAUCUGUAUGUACCUGGUCCUGACCUGUAUGUACCUGGUCCUGACCUGUAUGUACCUGGUCCUAACCUGACCUGUAUGUACCUGGUCCUGACCUGUAUGUACCUGGUCCUAACCUGUUUGUACCUGGUCCUGACCUGUAUGUACCUGGUCCUAACCUGACCUGUAUGUACCUGGUCCUGACCUGUUUGUACCUGGUCCUGACCUGUAUGUACCUGGUCCUGACCUGUAUGUACCUGGUCCUGACCUGUAUGUACCUGGUCCUGACCUGACCUGUAUGUACCUGGUUCUGACCUGUACGUACCUGGUCCUGACCUGACCUGUAUGUACCUGGUCCUGACCUGUAUGUACCUGGUCCUAACCUGGCCUGUAUGUACCUGGUCCCGACCAGGUGGUUUAGUUUAAUGACCAGGUGGUUUAGUUUAAUGACCAGGUGGUGGCUAGUUUAAUGACCAGGUGGUUUAGUUUAAUGACCAGGUGGUUUAGUUUAAUGACCAGGUGGUUUAGUUUAAUGACCAGGUGGUGGCUAGUUUAAUGACCAGGUGGUGGCUAGUUUAAUGACCAGGUGGUUUAGUUUAAUGACCAGGUGGUGGCUAGUUUAACGACCAGGUGGUGGCUAGUUUAAUGACCAGGUGGUGGCUAGUUUAAUGACCAGGUGGUUUAGUUUAAUGACCAGGUGGUGGCUAGUUUAAUGACCAGGUGGUUUAGUUUAAUGACCAGGUGGUUUAGUUUAAUGACCAGGUGGUGGCUAGUUUAACGACCAGGUGGUGGCUAGUUUAAUGACCAGGUGGUGGCUAGUUUAAUGACCGGGUGGUUUAGUUUAAUGACCAGGUGGUGGCUAGUUUAACGACCAGGUGGUGGCUAGUUUAAUGACCAGGUGGUUUAGUUUAAUGACCAGGUGGUGGCUAGUUUAAUGACCAGGUGGUGGCUAGUUUAAUGACCAGGUGGUGGCUAGUUUAAUGACCAGGUAGUGGCUAGUAUAACAACAGGUGAGUUACCCUUAUGACCCUCUACGAUAGACAUUCAGUUGUUCAGCUAGGGAGGAAUGCGUCACAAAUGGUACCCUAUAUAGUGCAGUACUUUUGACAAGGGCCCAUAGGUAGUGCACUAUGUAGGGAAUAGGGUGCCAUUUGGGAAUCCCUCAAGAGAUGUCCACAGGACACAGUGGAGUCAGUGCAGAACCAGUUCCUGAUUAUCGUGUGUAUAAUGUGUGUAUAAACAUGUAUAAACUGCUUAAUAAACAUGUAUAAACUGCUUAAUAAACAUGUAUAAACUGCUUAAUAAACAUGUAUAAACUGCUUACUAAACAUGUGUAAACUGCUUAAUAAACAUGUAUAAACUGCUUAAUAAACAUGUAUAAACUGCUUAAUAAACAUGUGUAAACAGCUUACUAAACAUGUAUAAACUGCUUAAUAAACAUGUAUAAACUGCUUAAUAAACAUGUAUAAACAGCUUACUAAACAUGUAUAAACUGCUUACUAAACAUGUAUAAACUGCUUACUAAACAUGUAUAAACUGCUUAAUAAACAUGUGUAAACUGCUUAAUAAACAUGUAUAAACUUAUAAUAACAGUCAUGGUUGAGUAGUUGACUUUAAAGGACCCAGAGAGUUACAUAGACAGAGGACCUUCAGUAUGCUGGACAACACUGGAAACAUGUUGGGCUCAAUAUACAUCAUCAUGGUAUAUUAUCUUAUAUAGUAAGUUAUCUUAUGUUAUACGCUUUGUAACAGAGCACCAUUACGUUUUAGUACUUUUUUCAAAGCUGGCUGGUUUGUUUACAAGUUCAUAUCAAGAGUGCUGGAGAUUCAGCCCGACUUUAAAAUAACACAGAAUCUAAGUGCUACAUUUCCUGAAAGCCCCGUAAAUGUAAACAUGUAUACAGAUGAACAUAAUAAACUGUCCAUAGCUGGUAAUAUUACAAGAGGCAAUAGUAUCAAAACAUUCCACCAAAAAGACUUGAAAGAGUAUUAAACAGUUUUAAAUAAUUCAUAUUAAAUAGUUAUCCUUCAGCAUCUUUUAGUGAUGUCGUUUUUUUUUUGAUCAAUUUAUAAUUCCUUGAAAGAAUCCUAGAUAUUUUUUUUUUAGAUCCGACAAAAUAUUUAAUUCAUGGUUUCCUCUAUUACAGUGGUCGCCAACCUUUUUUCAGAGUCAAAAUGCAAGCUGAGAUCAACCGUAAGCCUAUGCAACAUUAACCAAUUUAAAAACAGUUCUGGAUCAAUGAACCUCAUUCAUGAACCUCAUUGAUCCAGAACUGUUUUUUAAUUGGUUAAUGUACAGUAGUAAGCUAUAGGCUCAAUACAUUAUCACUGUAUACUGGCUAUGCUUGACUUGCCCUGCCAAUGUUAUUCUUCUGGGACCAUUUUGACAUUUUAUAUAUAAAAUGUUGGUAUAUGAUCAAACUGGUAAUAGAUCAUUUGUUGUAUCACUUGUGAGGUUACAGCUGACUGAGCAUAAUCAUAUAAUUUUUUUUUUUUAUUGGACUGAUGACCUGCAUCUGAUGGUUAGUCUGAGAGGAGGGAGGGAGAGAGGAGGGAGGGAGCAGCAGUUUGGCUGUCUCUCACCAGGCUCUCCCUCCCUCCUCUCUCCCUCCCUCCGCUGAGAAAAGGGGACAUAAGUUUCGCCAACGGCUGGAAGACUAAAUUGCACUGCAUUACUUGUGCCUCAUGUACCAAUUCAUGCUGUUACUCCUAUGACCAGCGAAAGUAAAAAUGUUCCUCUGGGCCUUUCGGGUAGGCAGAGAUCUACCUUCACAUACUGUUGUUUUUCAUAAUUGUCCAAACAUUGUCAUAGCUAUGUAAACACUUUCUGUUUUCUCUCUCAAGUAUUCUACAUAACUUUUCUAUGGGUCCUAUUCAGUCAACAGCAAGAACCAGGUUUCCUGUAUGAGUCAUUUAUAUCUAGAGAGUGUUUUAUAAUGUAAACACAGUGUUGUCAAUGUCAUGAGGAAGACCGUACUCCUCUUCCUCCACUGGAGGAGCCUCCUCUGGUAAAGGUUGUGUUGUCCAUCACCAUUAGCCCGAUUCCUGAUCCGAGUUAUGCGUGAGUAAAUGGAACUUAAUUACAAUGUGACUCAUGUUACCCCUCAUAGCCUGGUUCCUCUCUAGGUUUCUUCCUAGGUUUUGGCCUUUCUAGGGGAGUUUUUCCUAGCCACCCCUCAUAGCCUGGUUCCUCUCUAGGUUUCUUCCUAGGUUUUGGCCUUUCUAGGGGAGGUUUUCCUAGCUACCGUGCUUCUACACCUGCAUUGCUUGCUGUUUGGGGGGUUUUUAGGCUGGGUUUCUGUACAGCACUUUGAGAUAUCAGCUGAUGUAAGAAGGGCUAUAUAAAUACAUUUGAUUUGAUGAUGUUUCAGCCAAGCUAUUCGUUUGUGGUAGAGAUCGCAUAAAUUGAGGCGCGGCAGAGGUAUGUCUACAGAUACGUCGUAUUCUGACCUUGAUUUAAUUCCCUCGUAAUUCCACCACCUUUACGCGUGAUGAAACGAUGAAUAAAAUCAAGCAACCUGUCGGUUCCAAGUGUGACAAACAUCUUAUUUUUUAUUUAUUUUUUUACCCCCGAUUGAAAUAACACAAUUCUUCAUGCACUGUAGGGCCUAAUUUACAUAUUUAUAAGAGCUAUUGAUAAGAAUUUGGUAAAUGAAUAAUCCGUUGGAAUAAGGGGAUUGUAAAUAUAAAUUGCAAUAGUUUUAGAUCUGUUUUUACCUUAGAAAUCGCUGGAGACAAAUGUGAAACCAGUCAAAAUGGCAGCAAACUGAAACAGAUCAACUUUCCCACAGUGAUGUGAUUUUUAUGAAAUAUUGUGCCAUUAUGUAGAAUUUAAAUUGUAAUUUUUAACUUGAAACUUUCAUGUGAGCAUGUGAAAUUUGACCUUUGGGCAAUCUCCAAUAUUUUAAUUAAAUACCUUAAUUUGCUUCGUCGGUAAAACGCCAUCACGGAAGUGUGGUUGAUCACAUUGGUUAAUUACAUCGCUAUGGAGCGGAACGCAGACCAAGCCGUAACAGUUUGAACCGGAAGCAUGGCGCAACACUUGAUUGUGUCAUUUACACAGUUCCAUGGUUAAUGCAGGCAAUAGAAGAGUGUAUAGCCUACUAUUGUACACUAAUUCCCCUAUUAUAGUUAUACGCACACACAUAUUCCAACAUUACCAUGGGUUGAAGAACUGAAUGUGUCAAUUUUUCCCGAAUGAAUCAAACCACCGUUUUUUUUUCGUGCAUAAAGGGUCUCUAACCCGUUUUUUUUUAUUAUUAAUGAAUACUUUCCUAACAUUAAAGCUGCAAUAUGUACCUUUUUGGGUAACCUGUCAUUCUCAUUGAAAGCAAGUCUAAAUAGUGGUAGAUCUGUUCUAUGUGCUCUAUUUCUAUUCCUCCCGGUCUUAACGUUCAUUUGUGCAUAUUUAACUUUCGGUUUUUCUACAUCAGCUUCAAACAGCUGAAUAUGCAAUAUUUUUUGGUUAUGGAAAAUAUAUCUCACAGCGGUUUAGAUGGUACAAUGAUUCUCUACACUAAACUUUCUUGUUUUGUCACAAACUGAAAUUAUGCGAGCUAUUACACUUUUUGCAAACAGGAAAUGGCGAAUUUAUUUCUCCUUGGUGCUUUUUUAAAUACUAAUACUUUUUUAUCUACCAAUUGGUGCCGAAAAGGCGCCAAUAUGAGUGUAUUUACACUGAACAAAAAUAUAACAUGCAACAAUUUCAAUUUUUUUACUGAGUUACAGUUCAUAUGAGGAACUCAGUCAAUUAAAACAAAUUCAUUAGGCCCUAAUCUAUGGAUUUCACAUGACUGAUGCAUCUGUUGAUCACAGAUACUGUACCUUAAAAAUAAUUAAGGGUGUGGAUCAGAAAACCAGUCAGUAUCUGGUGUGACCACCAUUUGCCUCAUGCAGCGUGACACAUCUCCUUCACAUAGAGUUGAUCAGGCUGUAGAUUGUGGCCUGUUGGAAUGUUGUCCCACUCCUCUUCAAUGGCUGUGUGAAGUUGCUGGAUAUUUUGGCGGCAACUGGAACACGCUGCCGUACACGUCGAUACAGAGCAUCCCAAACAUGCUCAAUGGGUGACAUUUCUGUUGAAUAUGCAGGUCAUGGAAGAACUGGGAUAUUUUCAGCUUCCAGGAAUUGUGUUCAGAUCCUUGCGACAUGGGGCCGUGCAUUAUCAUGCUGAAACAUGAGGUGAUGGAGGAGGAUGAAUGGCACGACAAAGGGCCUCAGAAUUUCGUCAUGGGAUUUCUGUGCAUUCAAAUUGCCUUCGAUAAAAAUGCAAUUGUAUUCGUUGUCCGUAGACGGUACAGUUAAAACCGGCAUUCACCCAUGAAGAGCACACUUCUCCUGCAUGUCGGUGGCCAUCGAAGGUGAGCAUUUGCCCACUGUCGGUUACGAUGCCAAACUGCAGUCAGACCCUGGUGAGAACGACGAGCACGCAGAUGAGCUUCCCUGAGACGGAUUCUGACAGUUUGUGCAGAAAUUCUUCGGUUGUACAAACCGACAGUUUCAUCAGCUGUCCAGGUGGCUGGUCUCAGACGACCCCCAACAGGUGAAGAAGCCGGAUGUGGAGGUCCUGGGCUGGCGUGGUUACACGUGGUCUGAGGUUGUGAGGCCGGUUGGAUGUACUGCCAAAUUCUCUAAAAUGAUUUUGGAGAUGGCUUAUGGUACGGAAAUGAAUGUUCAAUUAUCUGGCAACAGCUCUGGUGGACAUUCCUGCAGUCAGCAUGCCAAUUGCACGCUCCCUCAAAACUUGAGACAUCUGUGGCAUUGUGUUGUGCGACAAAACUGCACCUUUUAGAGUGGCCUUUUAUUGUCCCCCAGCACAAGGUGCACCUGUGUAAUGAUCAUGCUGUUUAAUCAGCUUCUGGAUAUCCUACACCUGUCAGGUGGAUGGAUUAUGUUGGCAAAGGAGAAAUGCUCAAAAUAAAUUAAUUUGUGCACGUAAUUAUAGAGAAAUUAGCUUUUUGUGCGCAUGAAACAUUUCUGGGAUCUUUUAUUUCAGCUCAUGAAACUAAGACUAACACUUAACAUGUUGCUUUUAUUUUUUUUGUUCAUUACAGAUGGCUUUCUUUGAUUGGUCCCUAAUAUUCUGAACUGUUCUCUCCAUGUAGUCUGUGGACAAAUAAAAAAAAUAGAAUUAAAGGUACACCGAAUUUAAAGGGAUGGCUUUAGAUAAAUGUACUGAAAACCCUAUUGAAUGAAUACUACACCUGCAUAGGGUAAAUCUGAAUACCAACUAUUGAGAAAUGGGUAGAAAAGGUGUGCACCAAUAAGAAUUGUGGUUUUGACUAAUCACAGAAACCUGGUUAGAGCUAGAGACUGAAAAAGAUCCCAGUCGUUUUAAAGAGUUUCUCUCUAGAUGAAUCUACACUACUCCCAAGAUAAAUAGUUUCUCUCUAAUUGAAUCUACACUACUCCCAAGACAAACAGUUUCUGUCUAGUUUAAUGUACAGAGGUGAUAGUGUGGUUACUUGGGGCAACAUUACAGAACGCUCAGAUAGAAAUAUAUCACGCAGAAAAUACAUUCUUCUAUGUCAUGGAGAAUACACAAUCAUUGUGUCUUGAAACUGUAUUUAUCUGCAGCGUUCUGAACGUUUCACCAGUUCUGAACAAAUCGACAUAUUACAAUGAAAUACACACUCUCUCAUUUUUGACACCCC
rnacentral:lncRNA from 1 species